rnacentral:rRNA from 1 species
UACGGAGGGGACUAGCGUUGUUCGGAAUUACUGGGCGUAAAGCGCACGUAGGCGGAUUUGUUAGUCAGGGGUGAAAUCCCGAGGCUCAACCUCGGAACUGCCUUUGAUACUGAGGGUCUUGAGUAUGGGAGAGGUGAGUGGAACUGCGAGUGUAGAGGUGAAAUUCGUAGAUAUUCGCAAGAACACCAGUGGCGAAGGCGGCUCACUGGCCCAUUACUGACGCUGAGGCACGAAAGCGUGGGGAGCAAACAGG